GGUAUAGCUCAGUAGUAGGGUGCAUGCUUAGAAAGUGUGAGGCCCUGGGUUUAAUCCCCAGUGCC
rnacentral:tRNA from 1 species